rnacentral:rRNA from 1 species
UUAAGCGACUAAGCGUACACGGUGGAUGCCCUGGCAGUCAGAGGCGAUGAAGGACGUGCUAAUCUGCGAAAAGCGUCGGUAAGGUGAUAUGAACCGUUACAGCCGGCGAUGUCCGAAUGGGGAAACCCAGUGCAAUUCGUUGCACUAUCGUUAACUGAAUACAUAGGUUAACGAGGCGAACCGGGGGAACUGAAACAUCUAAGUACCCCGAGGAAAAGAAAUCAACCGAGAUUCCCCCAGUAGCGGCGAGCGAACGGGGAGCAGCCCAGAGUCUGAAUCAGCUUGUGUGUUAGUGGAACGGUCUGGAAAGUCCGACGGUACAGGGUGAUAGUCCCGUACACCAAAAUGCACAGGCUGUGAACUCGAAGAGUAGGGCGGGACACGUGGUAUCCUGUCUGAAUAUGGGGGGACCAUCCUCCAAGGCUAAAUACUCCUGACUGACCGAUAGUGAACCAGUACCGUGAGGGAAAGGCGAAAAGAACCCCGGCGAGGGGAGUGAAAAAGAACCUGAAACCGUGUACGUACAAGCAGUGGGAGCACCUUCGGGUGUGACUGCGUACCUUUUGUAUAAUGGGUCAGCGACUUAUAUUCUGUAGCAAGGUUAACCGUAUAGGGGAGCCGCAGGGAAACCGAGUCUUAACUGGGCGUUAAGUUGCAGGGUAUAGACCCGAAACCCGGUGAUCUAGCCAUGGGCAGGUUGAAGGUUGGGUAACACUAACUGGAGGACCGAACCGACUAAUGUUGAAAAAUUAGCGGAUGACUUGUGGCUGGGGGUGAAAGGCCAAUCAAACCGGGAGAUAGCUGGUUCUCCCCGAAAGCUAUUUAGGUAGCGCCUCGUGAAUUCAUCUUCGGGGGUAGAGCACUGUUUCGGCUAGGGGGUCAUCCCGACUUACCAACCCGAUGCAAACUACGAAUACCGAAGAAUGUUAUCACGGGAGACACACGGCGGGUGCUAACGUCCGUCGUGAAGAGGGAAACAACCCAGACCGCCAGCUAAGGUCCCAAAGUCAUGGUUAAGUGGGAAACGAUGUGGGAAGGCACAGACAGCCAGGAUGUUGGCUUAGAAGCAGCCAUCAUUUAAAGAAAGCGUAAUAGCUCACUGGUCGAGUCGGCCUGCGCGGAAGAUGUAACGGGGCUAAACCAUGCACCGAAGCUGCGGCAGCGACACUAUGUGUUGUUGGGUAGGGGAGCGUUCUGUAAGCCUGCGAAGGUGUGCUGUGAGGCAUGCUGGAGGUAUCAGAAGUGCGAAUGCUGACAUAAGUAACGAUAAAGCGGGUGAAAAGCCCGCUCGCCGGAAGACCAAGGGUUCCUGUCCAACGUUAAUCGGGGCAGGGUGAGUCGACCCCUAAGGCGAGGCCGAAAGGCGUAGUCGAUGGGAAACAGGUUAAUAUUCCUGUACUUGGUGUUACUGCGAAGGGGGGACGGAGAAGGCUAUGUUAGCCGGGCGACGGUUGUCCCGGUUUAAGCAUGUAGGCUGGUUGUCCAGGCAAAUCCGGAUAAUCAAGGCUGAGGUGUGAUGACGAGGCACUACGGUGCUGAAGUAACAAAUGCCCUGCUUCCAGGAAAAGCCUCUAAGCAUCAGGUAACAUCAAAUCGUACCCCAAACCGACACAGGUGGUCAGGUAGAGAAUACCAAGGCGCUUGAGAGAACUCGGGUGAAGGAACUAGGCAAAAUGGUGCCGUAACUUCGGGAGAAGGCACGCUGGUGUGUAGGUGAAGUCCCUGCGGAUGGAGCUGAGACCAGUCGAAGAUACCAGCUGGCUGCAACUGUUUAUUAAAAACACAGCACUGUGCAAACACGAAAGUGGACGUAUACGGUGUGACGCCUGCCCGGUGCCGGAAGGUUAAUUGAUGGGGUUAUCCGUAAGGAGAAGCUCUUGAUCGAAGCCCCGGUAAACGGCGGCCGUAACUAUAACGGUCCUAAGGUAGCGAAAUUCCUUGUCGGGUAAGUUCCGACCUGCACGAAUGGCGUAAUGAUGGCCAGGCUGUCUCCACCCGAGACUCAGUGAAAUUGAACUCGCUGUGAAGAUGCAGUGUACCCGCGGCAAGACGGAAAGACCCCGUGAACCUUUACUAUAGCUUGACACUGAACAUUGAGCCUUGAUGUGUAGGAUAGGUGGGAGGCUUUGAAGCGUGGACGCCAGUCUGCGUGGAGCCAACCUUGAAAUACCACCCUUUAAUGUUUGAUGUUCUAACGUUGGCCCCUUACCGGGGUUGCGGACAGUGUCUGGUGGGUAGUUUGACUGGGGCGGUCUCCUCCCAAAGCGUAACGGAGGAGCACGAAGGUUAGCUAAUCCUGGUCGGACAUCAGGAGGUUAGUGCAAUGGCAUAAGCUAGCUUGACUGCGAGCGUGACGGCGCGAGCAGGUGCGAAAGCAGGUCAUAGUGAUCCGGUGGUUCUGAAUGGAAGGGCCAUCGCUCAACGGAUAAAAGGUACUCCGGGGAUAACAGGCUGAUACCGCCCAAGAGUUCAUAUCGACGGCGGUGUUUGGCACCUCGAUGUCGGCUCAUCACAUCCUGGGGCUGAAGUAGGUCCCAAGGGUAUGGCUGUUCGCCAUUUAAAGUGGUACGCGAGCUGGGUUUAGAACGUCGUGAGACAGUUCGGUCCCUAUCUGCCGUGGGCGCUGGAGAAUUGAGGGGGGCUGCUCCUAGUACGAGAGGACCGGAGUGGACGCAUCACUGGUGUUCGGGUUGUCAUGCCAAUGGCACUGCCCGGUAGCUAAAUGCGGAAGAGAUAAGUGCUGAAAGCAUCUAAGCACGAAACUUGCCCCGAGAUGAGUUCUCCCUGAGACUUUAAGUCUCCUGAAGGAACGUUGAAGACGACGACGUUGAUAGGCCGGGUGUGUAAGCGCAGCGAUGCGUUGAGCUAACCGGUACUAAUGAACCGUGAGGCUUAACCUU